rnacentral:rRNA from 1 species
AUYCCCCGGGUUUACAAAAACAUASCCUUUAGCAAAAMAAGUAUUAAADGUAAUACCUGCCCAGUGAAACUUNAAACGGCCGCGGUAUCCUAACCGUGCAAAGGUAGCGUAAUCACUUGUCUUAUAAAUAAAGACCCGUAUGAAUGGCUAAAUGAGUAUUUAACUGUCUCCUUUAACUAAUCAGUGAAACUGAUCUCUCANGUACAAAAGCUGAAAUAAAAACAUAAGACGAGAAGGCCCUGUGGAGCUUUAAAUUUUAACAAAGUAUUAAAACAUAUUUAUGGUAAAAAAUUUUUAGUUGGGGCGACUUUGGAGCAAAACCUAACCUCCAAGAAAAGGUGCCACCUAAACCAGGCUGACCGGCCAAACAUCUAGANCCCAGUAUUUUUUACUGAUUAAUGAACCGAGUUACCCCAGGGAUAACAGCGCCAUCUUCUUCAAGAGUUCCCAUCGACAAGAAGGUUUACGACCUCGAUGUUGGAUCAGGACACCCAAAUGGUGCAACCGCUAUUAAAGGUUCGUUUGUUCAACGAUUAAUGUCCUACGWGAUCUGAUCCCGGACCGGGAACUGUUCUUUUCUUCCYGUCSUUUUWUUUUSGCGCCMCGAUAURWUMUUWSSGGGGCUGARYGGUUGUUUCGUUUGGUU